rnacentral:lncRNA from 1 species
GACAAUUUCGCCAAUGUUUGUAUGACCUCAUGGCAUUGGCUCUGUGUAACUCCAUACAUUGGAAUUUCUUCAACUACAGGGUUGCUGUAAUCCCAAAUAUCAAGAUAUAUUUCCAAAAAAUGUCUACAUUGAACUCAGAGCAUGGCUACACGGGGCAUAUCUCUCGAAUCGUCCUCUUUGAUGUGUCUAUCGAUGCACAAACAAAAACACAAAACCGAUCAAACGCACAUGUGGGAGGAGCAUAAACCAAAACAAAAAGAAAAAGAAAAAGAAAAAGAAACAUGAAAAAUAAAGCAACACAAAUAAAAACCUAAAGCCUUCAUCGACAACGACACCAAAAUUUGUUUCGACUAAACUAACUCUUAAAGUCGUCCGCAAUCGCACGAUAUCAAUUGCAGUUGAAUAAGCAAACUUAAAUCGUCCUCUCAAAUAAGGUUAGUCAAGUCGUUGACUCGUGUUACACACAUAAAGCAAUAAUUUCCUAAUUACUCUGAAC